rnacentral:rRNA from 1 species
UAACACGUAGGAGGCGAACGUUAUCCGGAUUUACUGGGCGUAAAGCGCGUGUAGGUGGUUUGGUAAGUAGGGCGUGAAAGCUCCCGGCUCAACUGGGAGAGGCCGUUCUAAACUGCCAAGCUAGAGGAUGGUAGAGGGAGGUGGAAUUCCGGGUGUAGCGGUGGAAUGCGCAGAUAUCCGGAGGAACACCAGUGGCGAAGGCGGCCUCCUGGGCCACUCCUGACACUCAGACGCGAAAGCUAGGGUAGCAAACGGGAUUAGAGACCCCGGUAGUCCUAGCCCUAAACGAUGUAGACUUGGCGUCGGUGGUUUAAACGCCAUCGGUAUCGCAGCUAACGCGAUAAGUCUACCGNCUGGGGACUACGNCCGCAAGGUUAAAACUCAAAGGAAUUGACGGGGGCCCGCACAAGCAGCGGAGCAUGUGGUUUAAUUCGAAGCAACGCGAAGAACCUUACCAGAACUUGACAUCGUCUGAAUCAUCCGUAAUGGGAAAAAUCCUUCGGGACAGACAGACAGGUGGUGCAUGGUUGUCGUCAGCUCGUGUCGUGAGAUGUUCGGUUAAGUCCGCUAACGAGCGCAACCCUCGCUGUGUGUUACAAGUGUCACACGGUACUGCCGGUAUUAAGUCGGAGGAAGGUGGGGAUGACGUCAAGUCAGCAUGACCUUUAUAUCCAGGGCUACACACACGCUACAAUGGUCAGUACAAUAGGUUGCCAAGCCGCGAGGCGGAGCCAAUCCUAAAAAGCUGGCCUCAGUUCAGAUUGCAGUCUGCAACUCGACUGCAUGAAGUCGGAGUUGCUAGUAACCGCAGGUCAGCUAUACUGCGGUGAAUACGUUCCCGGGGAUUGUACACACCGCCCGUCAAGUCAUGGGAGCUGGCAACACCUGAAGCCGGUAUCCUAACCCGUAAGGGAGGGAGCUGUCAAAGGUGGGGUUGGUGACUGGGACU